rnacentral:rRNA from 1 species
GACGAACGCUGGCGGCGUGCUUAACACAUGCAAGUCGAACGGAGUGGCGAACGGGUGAGUAACACGUGGGUGACCUGCCCUACACUUCGGGAUAAGCCUGGGAAACCGGGUCCAAUACCGGAUAGGGGGGGAUGGGCCGGCGGCCUAUCAGCUUGUUGGUGGGGUAAUGGCCUACCAAGGCGGCGACGGGUAGCCGGCCUGGGAGGGUGGACGGCCACAUUGGGACUGGGGCACGGCCCAGACGCCAACGGGGGGCAACAGUGGGGAAUAUUGCACAAUGGGCGGAAGGCUGAUGCAGCGGCGCCGGGUGGGGGAUGACGGCCUUCGGGUUGUAAACUCCUUUCACCAUCGACGCGGUAGAUGGAGAAGAAGCACCGGCUAACUACGUGCCAGCAGCCGCGGUAAUUC